rnacentral:rRNA from 1 species
UUARAGUYUGAUCSUGGCUCAKAACRARYGCUGGCGGCGUGCCUAACACAUGCAAGUCGAACGGGAUUAGGGGCUUGCUCCUAAUCUAGUGGCGCACGGGUGAGUAACGCGUAGAUAAUCUGCCUGAUGAUCUGGGAUAACACUUCGAAAGGAGUGCUAAUACCGGAUAAGCCCACGACGGCUUUGGUCGUUGCGGGAAAAGGGGGGGACCUUCGGGCCUUCUGUCAUCAGAUGAGUCUGCGUACCAUUAGCUAGUUGGUAGGGUAAUGGCCUACCAAGGCUACGAUGGUUAGCUGGUCUGAGAGGAUGAUCASCCACACUGGAACUGAGACGCGGUCCAGACUCCUACGGGAGGCAGCAGUGGGGAAUUUUGCGCAAUGGGCGAAAGCCUGACGCASCA